GAUCUGGAUCUGAACCAGCUCUUCAACGAUCCUGACAACAGACCAGUAGAACACCAGUAGAGACCUUCAUGGGACGGCUGGACAUCACUAAUGGUCAAUUUCUGUACCUGAUACACUGAUGCUGACCUGGACGCUCCUCUGUCCAGCUCUAUUUUCACACCAGUAAACUCCAUUGUCGGAUGGAAAGAGAGUUGAGAUGUUGCAGGAGGAACCAUUCAAUCUCCCAAAGUCUUGUUGACCUCCACCACAGGUCUGUGUCAGUCCUCCUGCUGUCCUCUUCACCGUCCAUCCAUCCACUGUCUGUCCAUCUUCAACACAACUCAGAGAGACAGAGUCUCUUUUAAAGAACACCUGAUGGUUUGGACUGACGUUAAGAAAGACUGGAGAACAAAAUGACGGACAGACAGUUAAUUGUUUAUAUUUUUGUAGGUUUAUGUCAACGUCAAAACUUCAGACAAAACAGUCAGACAGAAACACAGAAAUGUAUUUUUUAAUUAUUAUUUGAGUGUCAUCAGCUCACCUGCAGACACAGGCAGUCCAAACAGCAGCACAGCCGGGCCUGCAACAGGAGGACACGCUUAAUAAAGAUCAGAGAUCAGCACGCUUACAGCAGUUGAAAAGAUGUGAGAUCAGUCCAGUCCUUUCAGCCUGUGGCCUUCAUCACUGCAUUAGAAUGCCAGAAUGGGCACCAGAACCAGAGCUGGGCAAGUGGGCAAGUGGGCAAGUGAACCGGGCUCAGCAGCUUCCCACUGAACCCAGCCAGACAAGGGCCUAACACCCAGGGGCCCAGGGGACGACAAAGACAGGGCAGGUUCAGGAGAGGCAUGAUGCGGGAGAGGAACGGGAGGUCAGCGCUCACCUCCGGAGGCCUCAGUGGGGGUUACAGCAGGGUCAGCCCCAGGAUGCCAGGAGACAAACCCGGAAAGAAAACCAGAUGCACCUGGGCUCACUGAAUGUCAACAUGUCUCAAGCCAGUCUCACACCUAUGAAGACAACGCUC